ACAAAACAAUUUCAUACACACAUGUAUCAGGUGCCUAUAGCACUGUGUGGAUCAAUGCAAAGUUAAUAUGACAGCAA